UACGUAGGUGGCAAGCGUUGUCCGGAUUUAUUGGGUUUAAAGGGUGCGUAGGCGGCCCUGUAAGUCAGUGCUGAAAUAUCCCGGCUUAACCGGGAGGGUGGCAUUGAUACUGCGGGGCUAGAGUACAGAUGAGGUAGGCGGAAUUGACGGUGUAGCGGUGAAAUGCUUAGAUAUCGUCAAGAACACCUAUAGCGAAGGCAGCUUACUAGGCUGUAACUGACGCUGAGGCACGAAAGUGUGGGGAGCAAACAGG
rnacentral:rRNA from 1 species